UACGCAGGGAGCUCGCGUUGUUCGGCAUUACUGGGCGUAAAGGGCGCGUAGGCGGUUUGGCAAGUUGGAUGUGAAAGCCCAGGGCUCAACCCUGGAAUUGCAUUCAAGACUGCCUUACUUGAAUUCGGUAGAGGUGAGUGGAAUUCCCAGUGUAGAGGUGAAAGUCGUAGAUAUUGGGAAGAAUAUCCGUGGCGAAGGCGGCUCACUGGACCGACAUUGACGCUGAGGCGCGAAAGCGUGGGGAGCAAACAGG
rnacentral:rRNA from 1 species